GUCCGCGUUGUAAUUUGUAGAGGAUGAUUCGGCAAGGGCUCCCGCCUAAGUCUCCUGGAACGGAGCGUCAUAGAGGGUGAGAAUCCCGUAUGCGGUGGGCUGCCUAAGCCAUGUGAAUCUCCUUCGACGAGUCGAGUUGUUUGGGAAUGCAGCUCUAAAUGGGAGGUAAAUUUCUUCUAAAGCUAAAUACCGGCCAGAGACCGAUAGCGCACAAGUAGAGUGAUCGAAAGAUGAAAAGCACUUUGGAAAGAGAGUUAAAAAGUACGUGAAAUUGUUGAAAGGGAAGCGCUUGCAGCCAGACUUGUCCGCAGUUGCUCAGCCGGUCUCCUGACCGGUGUACUCUUCUGCGGCCAGGCCAGCAUCAGUUCGGGCGGUCGGAUAAAGACCUCGGGAAUGUAGCUCCUCUCGGGGAGUGUUAUAGCCCGGGGUGGAAUGCGGCCAGCCUGGACUGAGGAUCUCGCUUCGGCUAGGAUGCUGGCGUAAUGGCUGUAAGCGGCCCGUCUUGAAACACGGACCAAGGAGUCUAACAUCUAUGCGAGUGUUUGGGUGUCAAACCCAUGCGCGUAAUGAAAGUGAACGGAGGUGGGAACCCUCACGGGUGCACCAUCGACCGAUCCUGAUGUCUUCGGAUGGAUUUGAGUAAGAGCAUAGCUGUUGGGACCCGAAAGAUGGUGAACUAUGCCUGAAUAGGGUGAAGCCAGAGGAAACUCUGGUGGAGGCUCGCAGCGGUUCUGACGUGCAAAUCGAUCGUCAAAUUUGGGUAUAGGGGCGAAAGACUAAUCGAACCAUCUAGU
rnacentral:rRNA from 1 species